rnacentral:rRNA from 1 species
GACGAACGCUGGCGGCGUGCCUAAUACAUGCAAGUAGAACGCUGAAGAGAGGAGCUUGCUCUUCUUGGAUGAGUUGCGAACGGGUGAGUAACGCGUAGGUAACCUGCCUGGUAGCGGGGGAUAACUAUUGGAAACGAUAGCUAAUACCGCAUAAAAUUGAUUAUCGCAUGAUAAUUAAUUGAAAGAUGCAAUUGCAUCACUACCAGAUGGACCUGCGUUGUAUUAGCUAGUUGGUGAGGUAACGGCUCACCAAGGCGACGAUACAUAGCCGACCUGAGAGGGUGAUCGGCCACACUGGGACUGAGACACGGCCCAGACUCCUACGGGAGGCAGCAGUAGGGAAUCUUCGGCAAUGGGGGGAACCCUGACCGAGCAACGCCGCGUGAGUGAAGAAGGUUUUCGAAUCGUAAAGCUCUGUUGUAAGAGAAGAACGGGUGUGAGAGUGGAAAGUUGCACAUCGCAAACGUGUUAUCUUACCGAA